rnacentral:misc_RNA from 1 species
UGCGAUGAAGCAGGAGCAGGAUCUUAUUUCUAAUUUGUCUGGUACAAGAGAAGACUACAAGAAGGAGAAGGAUGAGAAUGGUAAUGAUAGGAAACCAGAGUUUACAAUGAGAUGCAAAAGCUAAAAUUGAAAUUCUUGCUGCAGAAAUUUUUGGGAAUGUUUUUGAAAAAGAUAAAGGGGUUCAAAAAGUGUGGAUAUUGUAUGCAAUUGGCAAAAUUAGGAGCCAAGAUAGUAAGUCUAGCGGUUGUAACCCUAUAAGUUUCAUGGAAGAUGAACAUUAAAUAUUAAGAAGGCAAAGAAAGA